CAGCUCAGUUGGCAGAGCAUGAGACUAUUGAUCUCAGGGUCAUGGGUUCAAGCCCCACCCUGGGCAAAAGA